AAAUUGUUCUUAAUUUAUUUUUUGUUUCUUUUAUUUUUAGAAUGUGAGUACAAAAUUAUUGUAAAAUUAAAAUGGAAUAUAUUACUGAAAAUAGCUGAACACAUAACACAGUAAUACAAAUAUCAUUCACCUAUGAAAAAAACACUUUGGAUCCCAAGCAGGGCACCCCUUAUUAUGCACGAAAAAAGGGAUCCAAAACCUUGAGCUGCGAAUUGCCCCCCAAUUUAUAAUUACUCACUCAUUCAAGGCAAACAAUUUGAAUGCUUCGCCAACAAACAAAAAAAAAACAUGAAAGGAGUCCGCUUGGCAUCCGACUAGAAUAUACUUAUUACUCAAGUUUAUUUUAAGAUCAAAAUGCAAUUUGGUGGGAAUGCCUUGGGAUUUGACUUCAAUUGCUCCCAACUGUUUUUUUCCGCUGUUUCUGCUGCUGCAAAUAAUUAUCAAGAAUUCACACAAAACACACUUUUGGGGAUGCCAAAGGGGAAUAACAAAAUCUGCUAUUUAUUCUAUUAAAUUUUUGUAUCUGCUGGAUGCGACGCUUCUGCUAAGCGGCUUCUGCUAAUCUUCCUCCUGCUGGGCCACAGCCCAGUGUCAAACGUGUCACUGGCAAGAUUUAACUCAAGAUUUACACAGCAAAAAAAGUUCUACGCAAAGAGUAGGAUUUUUGUAUUAAAUAUGAAACAGGAAUAAUAUUAAACUGUCCACAAAAGAUCAAUAUGAGCUCCGAUAUGUAUUUUCUAACACUUAUUCUUUGGCAAGGACACGCUCUGAAAAACGACACUUGAUCGCUUUCCGCUGCAAUCUUUUUGUAUGUAAAUUAAUUAUAGUAACUAAAUUGACUUAAAGUGCACUAAAAUCAAUUUAAUUGUAAA